GAAGAAGCAGAAGCCUUACAGGACCAACCUAAAUUGGUAGAUUUAAGGAAGUUUUUAGUUCCGCAGCUAAUACUCAGUUAUAUAGAAAGCUUGCAUUUUUCAACCACCUUUGGCAAUUUGCUUCCAGCGAUUCAACAUCUCUCUGGAAGACACCUUUGGCAGCCUACUGCUGAAUGUUACUCAGACGACAACGGACCGCUGUGAAUCCAUCUUACUUUGGAUUGAUCCAGCUUGCUGUCAUCUCUGACCAGUUUCGUCCUCUUUCCAAAUGAGAAGCAUCCAUGAUGACUGCCACUGUUUAAUUUUACCAUGGAAUCAAAGCGCUCAGGGUGAUUUGCAGGACUUAUCUGCUGCUGCCUUAGAGUUUUGCAUUUAGGCAAAAAUGUUCACAUUUGUUACUGUUAAGGUAAAGCACCUUUGCGAUAUGCCUGCUUUUUCAUAACAAUGGACUGUGGUAAAAUUUUAUUUCUGCUUGCUUCAAACAAUAGCUCUGUUGUCACUCUUCCCUAAAGGGCGUAUUUGUGGAGUGCAUGACUAAUUCUAUCCUGUCGAUAUUCUGCAUGCUGAAUCUGAGUGGUAUAACAUUAGAGGAACUGCAUAGCUCCCCCAACCAUGACUGCGUCUCUGGUUAAUGUUGUCCGUUGACUUACUUCUAGGUGGCAUCUGAUGACUAUAUUCUUGAUUUUAUUUAGUGUUAAUUUAACAGGGGCUAAAAAAUUAUCGCACAAUUUUCAGUUUUUCUAUUUAGAGAUUUGAUCAUUUUCAGUUCAUAUGUAUGUCUUGGUUUACAGCAUAAGCUUCUGAUGAAAUACUUAGAGAUUUAGGUUUGCAAUUUAAAAGGAAAUUAAAAAUAAGCCGAAGGUAUAAUUAACGAUUAUUUAGGGCAGAUCUGCUUUUAUUAAUUCUAUGCAAGAAGACAUUUAAAUUCCUGGGUCCCUUGUGCUGCUAGAAUUACUUUGUUGACUUGAACCAACACUAAAACAUGAAAAAUAACAGAAUUAAAUAAAAAAACACAAAGGAAAAAAAUCACAUUAAGGUGCCUUUAUUCUUUAUUUCAUAUACCUGCUAAGUUCCAACCAUUGUUUUAAAUAUGUGCAGUUUCUCUUUUUUACUGUGUUCAGCUUCAAAUGUUGCUUCUAGCACUGAACGAGGUGCAUAUGUGAAAUGGUUAGAACUAUUCCUAUUACUAGACUUACUGGCACCUCGGGGUUAAAAAUUUAGCUUUUUAAUUAUUCAAAAAGGUUUCACACUUUGCAAGUUGCAAAUAUGUUUUUUGCGAGAUACAAACAAACACUUCCCUAUAUCAAUAAAAACAUAAUCUGAUAGGUAGCUAUUUAAAAAAAGAAAUAU